GAUGAACGCUGGCGGCGUGCCUAAUACAUGCAAGUCGAGCGAACAGACGAGGAGCUUGCUCCUCUGGCGUUAGCGGCGGACGGGUGAGUAACACGUGGAUAACCUACCUAUAAGACUGGGAUAACUUCGGGAAACCGGAGCUAAUACCGGAUAAUAUAUUGAACCGCAUGGUUCAAUAGUGAAAGACGGUUUUGCUGUCACUUAUAGAUGGAUCCGCGCCGCAUUAGCUAGUUGGUAAGGUAACGGCUUACCAAGGCAACGAUGCGUAGCCGACCUGAGAGGGUGAUCGGCCACACUGGAACUGAGACACGGUCCAGACUCCUACGGGAGGCAGCAGUAGGGAAUCUUCCGCAGAGGGCGAAAGCCUGACGGAGCAACGCCGCGUGAGUGAUGAAGGUCUUCGGAUCGUAAAACUCUGUUAUUAGGGAAGAACAAAUGUGUAAGUAACUAUGCACGUCUUGACGGUACCUAAUCAGAAAGCCACGGCUAACUACGUG
rnacentral:rRNA from 1 species